rnacentral:rRNA from 1 species
AUGGCGACCAUGACCAGCGAACAAAUGGGGCCACCAGGUUCAGCAUCGCCGACUAACCAUCAGCCCUUGGCGCUUGCUCAGGAUGAUUCAACGAUCAUCAGAAUUCCCUUCAGAGCCAUACUUGGUUUCGUGUUAGCAGAGCUGGGAAUCCCAGAGGCCGAAUACCGUCGCGAGAUAUUCUACGGAAACAAGAUCUGCGUCACCGUGCUCUUCGACGCCUCUACGAUCAAAGGAGCCCCCACCCAUAUGUCGAUAUCCGGAACAUAUUCCACGGACGAUGAAGUGGCAGAGGACACAGCUGCUCUUAAAGCCAUUGAGUCCUUAGAAACCACAGCCAAUGUGGUGAUCAGGGACUACAGUUACGACAAACUGAAACGGCUGGAGGAAGAAUCUGAGCGCCUGAUGGAGCAGUUGGAAGAAGCAAAUUAUUGCAUAUCCAAGCUUGUUAGGGGCUGGCUGCUUGCUGUCAGAUGUGUCUGUUCAUUCUCUCAUAGUCUUAAGCUACUCCUGGGCAAAGUAUCAUGGAUGAGAUUAUGA